rnacentral:rRNA from 1 species
GAUGAACGCUAGCGGGAGGCCUAACACAUGCAAGCCGAGCGGUAUGGAUAGCUUGCUAUCCAGAGAGCGGCGUACGGGUGCGUAACACGUGUGCAACCUACCUUUAUCUGGGGGAUAGCCUUUCGAAAGGAAGAUUAAUACCCCAUAAUAUAAUGAUUGGCAUCAAUUAUUAUUGAAAACUCCGGUGGUUAGAGAUGGGCACGCGCAAGAUUAGAUAGUUGGUGAGGUAACGGCUCACCAAGUCAAUGAUCUUUAGGGGUCCUGAGAGGGAGAUCCCCCACACUGGGACUGAGACACGGACCAGACUCCUACGGGAGGCAGCAGUGAGGAAUAUUGGACAAUGGGUGAGAGCCUGAUCCAGCCAUCCCGCGUGAAGGAUGACGGUCCUAUGGAUUGUAAACUUCUUUUGUACAGGGAUAAACCUACCCUCGUGAGGGUAGCUGAAGGUACUGUACGAAUAAGCACCGGCUAACUCCGUG